rnacentral:rRNA from 1 species
UACGAAGGGGGCUAGCGUUGCUCGGAAUCACUGGGCGUAAAGGGUGCGUAGGCGGAUUGGUAAGUCCGUGGUGAAAUCUCCGAGCUUAACUCGGAAACUGCCAUGGAUACUAUUAGUCUUGAAUAUUGUGGAGGUUAGCGGAAUAUGUCAUGUAGCGGUGAAAUGCAUAGAUAUGACAUAGAACACCAAUUGCGAAGGCAGCUGGCUACACAAAUAUUGACGCUGAUACACGAAAGCGUGGGGAUCAAACAGG